GACGAACGCUGGCGGCGUGCCUAAUACAUGCAAGUCGAACGCAGUGGGGACGGGUGAGUAACACGUGGGUAACCUCCCAUCAGAGGGGAUAACACUUGGAAACAGGUGCUAAACCGAUACUGAUGGAUGAACCCGCGGUGCAUUAGCUAGUUGGUGAGGUAACGGCUCACCAAGGCCACGAUGCAUAGCCUACCCGGGAGGGUUAUCGGCCGUACUGGGUCUGAGACCCGGCCCGUACUCCGACGGGAGGCAGCGGUAGGGAAUCUUCGGCAAUGGACGAAAGUCUGACCGAGCAACGCCGCGUUAGUGACGAAGGUUUUCGGAUCGUAAAACUCUGUUGUUAGAGAAGCGGUAUCUAACCAGAAAGCCACGGCGAAGUACGUGCCAGCAGCCGCGGUAAUUC
rnacentral:rRNA from 1 species